AUUGAACGCUGGCGGCAUGCCUUAUACAUGCAAGUCGAACGAACACAUGAUCUAGCUUGCUCGAUUGAUGGCGCGUCGCGCACGGGAGAGUCAUACAUCGGAACGUGCCCUGUGGCGGGGGAUACUUCGUCGAAAGAUUACCAAAUCCCGCAAACAUCCUGAGGGUGAAAGUGCGGUACCGCAAGGCCUUUUUCUAUAGACGUAGCCGUUGACUGAUUAGCUAGUUGCUGAGUUAAAGGCUCACCACGUAGACGAUCAGUAGCUGGUCUGAGAGGACGAUCAGCCACACUGGGAUGGGGACAGGGCCCAGACUCCUACGGGAGGCAGCAGUGGGGAAUUUCGGACAAUGGGCGAAAGCCGAAUCCAGAAAUGCGGCGUGGGUGAAAAAGGCCUUCGGGUGGUAAAGCACUUUUGUCGGGAAAGAAAUGUCUCUGGUUAAUACCUGGGGUCUAGGACGGUACCGGAAGAAUAAAGACCGGCUAACUACGG
rnacentral:rRNA from 1 species